CGUAGGGGGCGAGCGUUAUCCGGAAUUAUUGGGCGUAAAGCGCGCGCAGGCGGCUGAUUAAGUCAGGUGUGAAAGGCUGCGGCUCAACCGCAGAGCGGCACCUGAAACUGGUCAGCUUGAGUGCAGGAGAGGGGAGCGGAAUUCCCGGUGUAGCGGUGGAAUGCGUAGAGAUCGGGAGGAACACCAGUGGCGAAGGCGGCUCUCUGGCCUGUAACUGACGCUGAGGCGCGAAAGCGUGGGGAGCAAACAGGA
rnacentral:rRNA from 1 species